rnacentral:misc_RNA from 1 species
GAAGUCAAAUGCAGUUGAGAGCUGUCCUGUGCCAUCAAUCCAAUCGAUAAUCCGUUGCCGGUGGCUAUCUUGGUCGUAUUCCAAAUAUGAGCCAUUGUAGUUGCAAGAAUCCCAAUACUCCCCGACAGAAAAUAUUGGUUUUGCUUCUUCAAUGUAUUCUUUCACGUAUUUGGGUGAGUAACCUCUUGCAAAGUCAAAACGGAAAUCUUGAAAGCCAACACUAUUACGAAGCCACUGAAGCCAUGCUGUAAUAUCUGUUCGA